rnacentral:rRNA from 1 species
CCCUAUUAUUUUUAAUAUAAAUGUAAUUUUGAGUAGUAGAUGAUAUGAUCAGGAAACUUAAAGAAUUUGGCGGUGUUUAUUCUAAUUAGAGGAAUAUAUUUUAAAAUCGAUAAUCCACGAAAAUCUUACUUUAAUUAAUUUUCUUUGUAUACCUCCGUCUAAAAAAAUUUUAAAAAUAUAUUUUUAUUCUUUUAAAAUAACAUAAGUCAGGUCAAGGUGCAGGUUAUUUUAAAGAUAAAAUGUAUUACAAUAAAAUUAUUUUUGGAUUUAAUUAUUAUUAAUUAAUGAAAAUGGAUUUAUAAGUAAAUUAGUUUUUAUUAUAACUGUUUGAAUUUUGUAAAUAAAUAUGCACACAUCGCCC